AUUAAUCAAUCGUCAUCGGAUCACACUCAUACAAUUGCUUUGGUAAUAGCUUUUCCGCUAAAAAGACCAAAAAAGAUAAAAGUUAUGAAACAAGCUACUAGGGAGAGGACAGGUUGGUAAUUUUAGAAUAUUGUCCGAAAGAAAGGAUUAAAAGCAAUCGUCGUCACUUGUUAUGUAUCACCGGCGUCAUGAGUCGUGACCCAACAAUGUCAUCACAUCAUCAAUAUAUACUCCCCUCGGACUCGGUGCAAUGGCUCAUCUGAGUAAAUCUUCUGAAAUCCUGUCUCCGUCAGAUCCACCAUCUAGUCUUUCGAAUCUUGCUGAGGAUUAGGUAUACUACAGUCGUAGAUCUUGAAUCUAAGCCCGUAACCGUAACUGGGUGUUCCUGUUUUGGGUUUGAUUGGAUUGUUGUUGGUGAAGGAGAGAGAGUGGUGGGAAUUAGGGAUUUAGUAGUAGCUUCGAAAGGUGUAAAUUAAAGAAGGGACAAAUGAUGAUAGGAAGAAAGCAUCUUUAAUGGCAGAUUGUGACUAAUUGGUGUUGCUUGAUUUCUCCGCAAGGAUGCAGAUCAUUGGUCUACAAGUUUUAGGUAGUACGUAAGUGAGUCUCAUUUUGGUUGAUGAGAAAAUGUGAGGGAAUAGAUCGCAGAGAAUCCACUAUUGGGAAAGAGCUUUGAAGGAUUAACAUCGUUAUAAAUUGGUAUUGGAACUGAACGAACAAGUGAAGAUCAGCAAUUCUGAUGUGUAUUGUCACUUCAACCCUAGCUAUUGGGAUUAACUACUUCUUUAUCUAGAGUUUUGGGAGAAUAGUUAUCGGUUAACGAGGGUGCCGGCUCCAAAUUCAGGUGUAACUAAGCUAUAUCAAAAGAAAGGGAUGAAUGUAAAUGACCCCUCUGAUAGAAAAGAAGAAGAAGACCAGAAUAAUCGGGUGUUAUGCCCACUAUUACAUCUGUAAGUCGAUUGUUUCUGCUGGAAAGUCACUGCAGCAUAUUCCUGUCACGUCUUCAGAAGUUUCUGGAAAGAUUCGGUACCAUGGUCGAAAUGGUUUUGGGAAGUUGGACAGUGCCAUACUGACUGAAAAGAACAGCUUUAGAAGCACUGCAGAAUUACCCUUGUCUGAAAUCUUUUUUCGAUCACUUGUUGGCAAUGGUGAUCAUGUAUCUAGAUCAUCUGUGGAAGGAUGAGGUGAAUGAGUGGGAGAUCUCUCCAACUUUAGCAGCAUAUAUAAGUGGAGAGCUGGUGAAUGGCAUGGGUGAUAAACAUCUUCCAGUUCUCACCUACUCAGAUCCAAUGUGGUAUAAGUUUUUGCCAAAAGGAGGCUGCAAUUCUAAAGCGACAAUUACAUAACUUGCAAGAAAACCACCGGUAUGUUUUGCAUCCACUUAGUUUGUCAAACACCACUUUUUUUAUAACUCUUUACAAAAACUUUGUUCUCCCUGCAAAAAAAGCUUUGUAACUCCUGGUUUGGAGCUUAAGCCAAUGAGUAGUUUGAUAAUCAUAGAAAUGAGUGUUUUCACAUAACCUUGUAGACUUCCGUUGCAUUCUUGUUUUCUCAUCCAAAUCAAUUUGUGAAAGUGUGAGUUAGUUAGCACUUAGCAGUAAUAAAAUGUGAUGUUGAUAUAUCUUAUAGAAAGUAAAUUCUUCAA